ensembl:lncRNA
GUAAGUGCAACAUCUACUACACAUAUCGUUAAAUCAAACCGUUUCGCCGAUGAAAUACCCGUUCUUAUGUCUUUCUAGACGAAAACACGUCGUUUGUUUAGUCGCGGCCUUUUCUCCAAUGACAAAGGUGAUCUAACUUUUAUGUGAAAUGGCGGAAGUCUUUUUUUUUUGGUAAACUGAGAACGAGAGAAACUCGUGCAGAACAACACAGUUAACUGAAGAUAUUUCGAUCUCUUUUUACUAUAAUAUUUAAUGUGUGACGACAGUUAACAGCACAAAGCUCGGUACAGUAAACAGUAACUUCGGCUCUAAUGUCCGGUCACGUUACAAGAUGUCUACGAUUAAAACAACGGCCGUUACGCGGCUUCACCGGGGCUUAUACAGGAUUUAUACCGGGCUUCACCAGGGCUUCACCGGGGCUUCACCAGGUCUUAUCCAGGGCUUCACCAGGGUUUAUAACGGGCUUCACCAGGCCUUCACCAUGGCUUCACCAGGUCUUAUCCAGGGCUUCACCAGUGUUUACCCAGGGCUUCAAUAUGGCUUCAAUAGGGCUUCACCAGGGUUUUACCAGGGCUUCACCAGGCCUUCACCAGGCCUUCACCAGGCCUUCAUCAGGGCUCUUUCCAGUGAUACCGACUGUUGUUGGAUGUUAUAAGCAUGUUAUAACUAGUGCAUGCACAGCUGUACAUGAGGACUACCCGAGUAAACAGAAGAAAGGUGUUAUUACGAACUGUACCUAGAAGUUCACAUAAGAGUAGCUAUUCACCUCAUUUAAUGUAUCAUAUAAUAUUCAUAAUAUAGAGGAGAUUACCGCAUAACUACGUUGGAACAUA